UUCUUUUUCAUUGGUUCCGACAACGAACGGCGCGAGAUCGACAUGUUACUGUCCUCCACGGAUCUGUCGAACGAAGACGAUGCUGGCCUCUCGUGCGUCAUCAGCAGGUCAGGCGGGGGAGGCAGCACGGGGGCCGACUGCACGAGUCAAACCAGCAAUGAGCAGCAUCUGUCCAAAGAACCCCGCCCUGUAGGCGACCAUGGGGGCAUGGCCCGGGAGGCCCGGGUCGGAGAGGGUGCCAUGCCGCCCCCGGAACCCCUCGACCCAGUUUUCGACUCGCUGGCUGCACUCGAACAUCGCCUAUGCUGAGAGGUUGCACAGCGUCGCCAGGUCGACUGCGGUGUCCAAGGUCCACCUGGCUCCUGGAGCAGCGAGAUCCUGAGCAGCGUGCUCACCGGAAGUGGGAGAGAUGGCGACGAUCUCCCCACCACGGACUUCGAGCGACAAAUCCAUCGAUCGGAAGCGACCUGGUCCGAGACCGCCGAAGAGCCGCUGACCCAGGCUGCAGAGGUUCAGCUUCAGGUGGCAAACCUGCGUCACAGCGGCCACGUUUACCGUCACGACGACGAAGGCGGCCGUUCGAACCACGGCUGAAAAUUCCGAGGAACGCGUGGUUAGGCACACACAAAAAUAAAGAAUGACAACACCGCUGGCCAUCAGGCCGGAAGACGACGAUAACACCCAGGACCUGCCAGACGAGUCGCACUUAACAUGCCACUAGUCGAACUAACUAUACGUGUUCGCGGGGUACAGUUUGAGUAGCCUAAGGAUAGUUUGGGGCGGGCCGUCGAAAUGGAGCACCGAUAACACGGCGGCUUAACGAGUUAUCGAGUUGGAGAAGGCAGAGGAAAGGCAAGGAGUGGAAUGUCGGUCGAUGACAUGAAUAGCUUAAAAGGACGGAAAACCACGUGCGACUGCAAAACUUGGCGGAGGCGUUCAUAGUAGCGUAUGCUGCUUGUGUACUGUGUUCCCCCAAAGCCACUAAGGUCUUUCGGGACCCUUGUAACGCUGUAAUGCAUAACGCACCUUCUGUAUACUGCGCAGCUUCAGACUUCGAAAUUCAAGUUUGUGCACGUGAAUCAGAAGUAGCGAUAUUAAUUCGCUGUCGAGCCAAGUGUCAAUCUUGAGUAGCUUGGGAAUCGAAUUGCUAACUACGGUGCUAAUUACCUUUGCUGACAAAUUCUAUCUUCGGCACAAAUUUGCACUCCAUAUGGCGUGAAAUGGAGAAAAUUCUGCGUACGUAGAAGCGUGCUUGAGCAUUGCAGGGUUAUACUCCCCAAGUACUGUUGGCUUCAGUGCUGUUGGAUGUGAACAGCAAGCUCGUCAAAGUGUUCGAAAGCUGCAGCAGAGGAGGACGAAACCUGGAGUGAGGCACGUGACUUCUGCAAUAUUCACGGUGCAUCUUGAACGCGUACCACAGGUUGAGUACAUCGAAAAAAAAUUUCGACAUGGCUUGUAACGCGGCCGCCGGAACUAGCGCCCGUGUAUUGUGUUGCAGGAAGAGUUGCUCGUGACGUCAGAACUGACGUGACGUCAGAGGUUAAGCGAUCUCCGUAGAAGGAAGAGCCACUUGAAUACUCGCACGUACUUUACAGCUUUUCUCUGUUUUUCUCGGGCGAGCCGCAUUCUUUUUUUUUCUGUUGGAACGAACAGCUCAGCGCAGUACUUAGCCCCCAGGCUUCCUUGACGCUCGUCCGAAUGUUCUGCCCCGGGAAUCGAGGUUUCCGUCUCUCGCAGCCACCGCGUUUCGACCCUUGCGGUCCUGCGAAUUUAUCAGGCGCCGCUAAGACGACGUGAAACUGUUUUGAUGUCCCUGCCAUCGUUAAUUUUGACGUGCGUACUUGCGAUAUAGUUCCGAUUCCCAGUAGUGGUGAAGUGACGUAUUCGACGUCAUUUUUUUUUGUGACAUUCCGCAUCGCAUUUUCGUCAUUGCGACAUGUUUACAGGUAGUGUACAUGUGCGCACGUGUAAACUAGAGAAGAGUAGUUCGUCUAUAGAAACGCAGGCAACAGUGUGCUCCAGGCUAGCCGGUGGAAAGAACACUCAGUGUCUCCGUGCAGCCGGAUGCUCCGCAUUGAAUGUGGUUUGGCCAGGAUGUCGAGCAGGGUUGAACCACCUUGCUCUGCAUUUUUCUUGCUCUGCAGCUAUGAAAGCACGUAUUACACAUCGAAAUAUUCAUGACUGAUGGCGUCACCGAACUAUAGUUCGUAAUUAGUGGUGGUUUUACUACUACACGCAGAGUAUGCAUACUGUUUGCCUUGCAUGUGCCGCAAAACAACCCUGAAAUUGCACCUACGGCAUUCUCUCGAUUUGUUUUGUGUGCGUGUGUUUCC